AUGCCCUAGGGCUAGUGGAAGACUUAAGAUGGCGGCGUUUGCACGGAGUGCAAUCACUGCGUCCUUACGGGGGUUGCAAGGCGUCCGAAGUAUGAGUCCACUAACAAAAGUCCAGAAACUCGCCAGUUAAUAGUAUUGUGUCUCUUCAAAAUAUCGGAGAAUAAUUUCUUUCUCGCUGAUCGCCUAACUUCUACUGACGAAGCUUGGAAGUUGCAGAAGAUGGAGUUCGCUCUUGUUGCCCAGGCUGGAAUGCAAUGGCAUGACCUUGGCUCACUGCAACCUCUGCCUCCCCAGUUCAAGUGGUUCUCCUGCCUCAGCCUCCCGAGUAGCUGAGAUUACAGGUACUGGCUCCUGUAUCACCCAGCUCUGGAGUUGAAAGAGCUCUUCAUUCCUGAGUCUCCUGUACCACUGAGAAUAGAAAUACAAAAAAAAUUCUAAAACUUGUAUGGAACUACAAAAGACAUUAAAUAAUCAAAGUAAUCUUGAGCAACAAGGACACA
rnacentral:lncRNA from 1 species